rnacentral:rRNA from 1 species
AUUGAACGCUGGCGGCAGGCCUAACACAUGCAAGUCGAACGGUAACAGGAAGAAGCUUGCUUCUUUGCUGACGAGUGGCGGACGGGUGAGUAAUGUCUGGGAAACUGCCUGAUGGAGGGGGAUAACUACUGGAAACGGUAGCUAAUACCGCAUAACGUCGCAAGACCAAAGAGGGGGACCUUCGGGCCUCUUGCCAUCGGAUGUGCCCAGAUGGGAUUAGCUAGUAGGUGGGGUAACGGCUCACCUAGGCGACGAUCCCUAGCUGGUCUGAGAGGAUGACCAGCCACACUGGAACUGAGACACGGUCCAGACUCCUACGGGAGGCAGCACUGGGGAAUAUUGCACAAUGGGCGCAAGCCUGAUGCAGCCAUGCCGCGUGUAUGAAGAAGGCCUUCGGGUUGUAAAGUACUUUCAGCGGGGAGGAAGGGAGUAAAGUUAAUACCUUUGCUCAUUGACGUUACCCGCAGAAGAAGCACCGGCUAACUCCGUG